AUUGAACGCUGCGGCAGGCUUAACACAUGCAAGUCGAGCGAGCGUCGGACGGGUGAGUAAUGCUUAGGAAUCUGCCUAUUAGUGGGGGACAACAUCUCGAAAGGGAUGCUAAUAACGCAUGCUAAUAGAUGAGCCUAAGUCGGAUUAGCUAGUUGGUGGGGUAAAGGCAUACCAAGGCGACGAUCUGUCGCGGGUCUGAGAGGAUGAUCCGCGACACGGGGACGGGGACACGGCCCAGACUCCUACGGGAGGAAGCAGUGGGGAAUAUGGGACAAUGGGGGGAAGCCUGAUCCAGCCAUGCCGAGUGUGUGAAGAAGGCCUUAUGGUUGUAAAGCACUUUAAGCGAGGAGGCGUUACUCGCAGAAUAAGCACCGGCUAACUCUGUGCCAGCAGCCGCGGUAAUAC
rnacentral:rRNA from 1 species